rnacentral:rRNA from 1 species
AUACGGAGGGGGUUAGCGUUGUUCGGAAUUACUGGGCGUAAAGCGCACGUAGGCGGACUGGAAAGUUGGGGGUGAAAUCCCGGGGCUCAACCCCGGAACUGCCUCCAAAACUUCCAAUCUAGAGAUCGAGAGAGGUGAGUGGAAUUCCAAGUGUAGAGGUGAAAUUCGUAGAUAUUUGGAGGAACACCAGUGGCGAAGGCGGCUCACUGGCUCGAUACUGACGCUGAGGUGCGAAAGCGUGGGGAGCAAACAGGAUUAGAUACCCGGGUAGUCC